CGACUGAACGAAAGCAUUAAGUGAUCCACCUGGGAAGUACGAUCGCAAGGUUGAAACUCAAAGGAAUUGACGGGGGCCCGCACAAGCGGAGGAGCAUGUGGUUUAAUUCGAUGAUACGCGAGGAACCUUACCUGGGCUUAAAUGCAGGACGACCGUCCGUGAAAACGGACUUUCCUUCGGGACGGCUUGCAAGGUGCUGCAUGGUUGUCGUCAGCUCGUGCCGUGAGGUGUCGGGUUAAGUCCCAUAACGAGCGCAACCCCUAUUCUUAGCUGCCAUCAGGUAAUGCUGGGGACUCUAAGAAAACUGCCUACGCAAGUAGUGAGGAAGGCGGGGAUGACGUCAAAUCAGCACGGCCCUUAUGUCCAGGGCUACACACGUGCUACAAUGGCCGGUACAGAGGGUCGCUACCUGGUGACAGGAUGCUAAUCUCGAAAACCGGUCUCAGUUCGGAUCGAAGUCUGCAACUCGACUUCGUGAAGCUGGAUUCGCUAGUAAUCGCAUAUCAGCAAUGGUGCGGUGAAUACGUUCCCGGGCCUUGUACACACCGCCCGUCAAGCCAUGGAAGCUGGGGGUACCUGAAGUCUGUGACCGCAAGGAGCGGCCUAGGGUAAAAC
rnacentral:rRNA from 1 species